UUUUUUUUUUAAAUACACCAAAACCAAUAUGAAGAGAAGCGGAGGAGGCCGGAAGAGAGAUGUAUUCGUGGUUGAUUAGUUGUGUCUUUGGACAUGACGGGGAACAUCAACGAAGGGAAAGACCAGUGUUUGUGAAUACCUGGUUUAUGGCCUUGAACUAUAGGAACGAUUGGGGUUCGGGGUACUCCGGACAUCUGGUAAGAUACAGUACCUGCUGUAUGGGCUUGAGCUGGAUGACGGUGUUGAUCUUUCCGAAGGGUUCCACGGCCUUCACCACCUCAUCAUGAGCUGUGUGUUGGGGGAUAUUCUUCAGUCUUAACAGAGCGGAGGUCCCUGGUGCUCCCUUCUUCUUAGUCUAGAGAGAGAAAGAGAGCGAGACCAGACUGCUAUUGGUAGUGAGCUGUGUGUUACAGGGGAUAUUCUUUAGUGUUGGUAGAGGGGAUAUGCUUUAGUGUUGGUAUAGGGGAUAUUCUUUAGUGUUGUUAGUGGGGAUAUUCUUUAGUGUUGUUAGUGGGGAUAUUCUUUAGUGUUGGUAGAGGGAUAUUCUUUAGUGUUGGUAGAGGGGAUAUUCUUUAGUGUUGGUAGUGGGG
ensembl:lncRNA